rnacentral:lncRNA from 1 species
UUGCAUUAAGAUUAUCCCUAUCUAUAUUAAGGGAUGCAGAGAAAAAAAUAAAUACCAACACAAAUAAAGAAUCUAAAGAAGAAGAAAAUGAUUGCCCGAAAAUUGCUCUAUACUGUUCUUUUUCUUGCACUGGUUUUAGGGUUUGCUAGUUGCAGACCAGUGGUGGAGGUGACAAAAUUUUGGCCACAUUACACCACAGUCUACUACCGAAGAGAAUUUCCGAUGUUACCAAAAGGAGAUAUAAUUCCUCCAUCCGGGCCGUCCAGCAGAAGGCCGCCGCUGCCAGUAUUUCCGAAGUUACCAAAAGGAGAUAUAAUUCCUCCAUCCGGGCCGUCCAGCAGAAGGCCGCCGCUGCCACUAUUUCC